rnacentral:lncRNA from 1 species
CGUCUUCAGAGUGUUGGUGCUCUGCCUUUCACCAGCAGCAACACUUCAGCGAAGUGGGCGGUUUUGUUGGGACAACGGAAUCUGCUCAUCUAAAGGUAAGCUCUGAUUUAUUCACGAGGUUGUACCACUGAUCAAGUGGCAUGACGUACCUAUAGGUUUUAUUCAUGAGUUCCAAAUGAAUUUGUUAACCAUCUAGUCGAUGUGUUUGUGUCUGUAUAUAUGCACACAGUAUGCCUAUAGGUUUGUAGAACUCCGCGUUGUGUUGUGAUGGCUAAAUUAUGAUUUUCUAGAUUCUUAAUGUUCAAGUACGUUACAAACCUGAAGUCAAAACAUAAGCAAACAAUAAACUGACAAAAUUAGAUAGUGUACAGAUUCCUAGAUUGAGUAUAAUACGAGGAUUAUUGCAGGGGUGUUUUAACCACGUCACGAGAUUUUUUAAACAUGCAUGUCUACUAGGUCCCCACUACAUAAAAUAACAAUAAAUAAAUAAAUAAUUGGCUUUUCAAUUACCAAUCUUAAAAGAAUUAUAGAAGCAUUGAUUUUCAAUAUUGAAACUAAAAACAGUUCCGGUUUCAGCAAAUUCAAAUUAGGAUUGUGAGUUCUUUUAUCUUCAGCUUUCGCUUGUCUAAGUGGACACUACAACCCUAAACUCUAAAAUCAGAUAGGCUUGGCUCAACUCCUAAACAGGACAAAGUCCCUAUAAGAUUUUAAUUUAAUAUUUAUUUUGACUCAGCGGUUCUAAGAUUUCAAUUAAUUAUUGACAUUGCGAUGGAUCGGAUGCUGAAAUUGGCUUUCAAUUUUGUACUGAAAUGGAUAUGGUAUUUUUUUUAUUACUACGAUACCUCCACUUGUUUUCAAAAUUUAAAUUGUGGUACUGAAAUUAUGAUCUGGUCUACCGAAUUUGUGGUAGUGAAACUGGGAAUUGGACGAACGCUCUUCUACUCAGCUACUUGGACGUGCUCUCAAGGUCUCAGCUCAUGAGCCUCCCACUCUUCCUUGUGAAGCAGCAAAUGCAACAUACCUAAAGGUGAAUAGAGUAUUUAUUUGUACUAUAAAUGUCAUAAGAAAAAGUUGACUAUAGGCUGGUUAUAGUUUACCCAUGAUUCAUCAUGUCAUUCUUAGGUGCAUAAACUAAGGUGUACAUAAUUUAUUUUGUGGAGGAAGAAUAUGGUAACUUAAACAGUAUUACAUGUGAUGCCAUGUCGCUGCGGGGAAGCAUUCACACACUCACGUUUGGCAUGUUCCAUGCAGCAGACCUGUCGUCAUUGGUUGAGGUAAGCAACGUUUCUUGCUUUCUCAUAUAUUUAUUUUUAUUCACUAAGUUCAACCUUGUACUUGGGAAGUCAAAUCACUAUUUCUGUUCAAGGUUGUCAUGAAAAUUUCAAAAAUGGAAUGGAAUGAAUUAACAGUGCGCUUCUGCAUUUUUGACUUAGAUGUUGCAAGGCUGCGAGGUGAGGGCAGACGGUGCACGUCAUCACUGCCGCUCUCUCCUGUCUCUGUUUUUCUCUUUGCUGAAGAAAUUUCACACAACCAGGAGCAGUGAAUAGGGUUACAAUUUGUGAAUUGAGAUGUUUGUGCAGUUGCUGCACUUUUAUAACCACUUCUGAUUAGUUGCGGAUGCAAUGAUGUUUAGCUGAUGUGGAAUAUUUUUGACUAGAAUCCUUGAUUGUGUAUUUGUUCCAUUUUUAAAUUUAUUUAUUCAUGCUUCAUACACACCAGAUACAAUUUCAUCUAAGGAAAAUCAAGGUCUGAUUGAAAAAAAUUAAGUUCUUGGCACAAUUAACAUUGGAUGACCCGCCUUGCUAUAUUAUGAACAUGCUUGCUUUAAAUUAUUAGUUAAUUGAAAUAAUUUAUAAUUUUAUCUCUGUAGUUGCAUCCUCCAUAUUUUGAUAAAAUUUACAAAUGUCAGAUUUUGUUCAUUAGCAUAGGUUCAUGAAUGCCGAGCGCAUCCAAUCGACAUCGUCAAACUUUGGGCUCUAGCACUUUGCUCUGUUUGUGAGGAUGGAUCAAUAGUGCGCUCACCAAGUGGCAGCAGUAGAAGCAACACUCAAAAGGAGCGACACAACAAAGACGGAGGACGACAUCGAGCGGAGGUGAGCCACUACCAAUUUAUCAUGAAAGACUUCUGUCUCAUGUGUUACGUCUGAUUGUUUGAACUUUGUUGUUAUCAAGCUAAAGGUCUUGUGGUUUGCGCGGAUGAUUUUCUUUCAUACCCUAAAAUAUUUUCCCUUAAUAUUUCUGAAAUUAUUAUUUGUACAUUAUUUUCUGAUAUUUACCUCCUAUUUUGCAGGCUAUAUAGAAUGAUUGCAGGUUUUAAUCAAGAAGUCCUCAAUAGGUGGACUGGCUCAAAAUGGAGAAGCAUGCUGGUAGCUUUUGUGUUGAUUGUAUUAAGCAUUUAAGUUUGUAGCAAUUCAUAACGUCAAAUCAUUGGGAUGCUUUGUAAUAUUUUAGAAGACUGUGUUUCUUUGCUGGAUCUAGCGUGCUGUCUAUAGAUGUCCUUACCUACUUCCUUCUCACAUAUGGAAUGGGUUUUCGGAUAGCCUAGACAUACGGAGACAAUUUGGGGGUGUCGAUUCUCUCUCUCUCUCUCUCUCUCUCUCUCUCUCAUAGAAUAAUGAACAACCGAUAAGACUAAUAUUAUAUACCUUCUCAUCAGUCCUACAGUGCAUUAUUUGACUUUUGUGCUAAUACAAGGAGAAAGUAUGUUG